rnacentral:rRNA from 1 species
CCCCCAGACUCCUACGGGAGGCAGCAGUGGGGAAUAUUGCACAAUGGGGGAAACCCUGAUGCAGCGACGCCGCGUGAGCGAAGAAGUAUUUCGGUAUGUAAAGCUCUAUCAGCAGGGAAGAAAAUGACGGUACCUGACUAAGAAGCCCCGGCUAAAUACGUGCCAGCAGCCGCGGUAAUACGUAUGGGGCAAGCGUUAUCCGGAUUUACUGGGUGUAAAGGGAGCGCAGGCGGCUUGGCAAGUCUGAUGUGAAAGGCUGGGGCUCAACCCCCGGACUGCUUUGGAAACUGUAUAACUGGAGUGCAGGAGAGGUAAGUGGAAUUCCUAGUGUAGCGGUGAAAUGCGUAGAUAUUAGGAGGAACACCAGUGGCGAAGGCGGCUUACUGGACUGUAACUGACGUUGAGGCUCGAAAGCGUGGGGAGCAAACAGGAUUAGAUACCCCCGUA